AUUGAACGCUGGCGGCAGGCCUAACACAUGCAAGUCGAGCGAGCGGCGGACGGGUGAGUAAUGUAUGGGGACUGCCCGAUAGAGGGGGAUAACUACUGGAAACGGUAGCUAAUACCGCAUACUAUCGGAUAACCCAUAUGGGAUUAGCUAGUGGGUGAGGUAAUGGCUCACCUAGGCGACGAUCCCUAGCUGGUCUGAGAGGAUGAUCAGCCACACUGGGACUGAGACACGGCCCAGCGUCGUACGGAGGCAGCCGGGGGGAAUAUUGCACAAUGGGCGCAAGCCUGAUGCAGCCAUGCCGCGUGUAUGAAGAAGGCCCUAGGGGUGUAAAGUACUUUCAGUCGGGAGGCGUUACCGACAGAAGAAGCACCGGCUAACUCCGUGCCAGCAGCCGCGGUAAUAC
rnacentral:rRNA from 1 species